rnacentral:rRNA from 1 species
AGAGUUUGAUCAUGGCUCAGGACGAACGCUGGCGGCGUGCUUAACACAUGCAAGUCGAGCGGUAGGGCCCUGCUUUGGUGGGGUACACGAGCGGCGAACGGGUGAGUAACACGUGGGUGACCUGCCUUCAGCUUCGGGAUAAGCCUGGGAAACUGGGUCUAAUACCGGAUAGGACUUCUGCCUGCAUGGGUGGGGGUGGAAAGUUUUUUCGGCUGGGGAUGGGCCCGCGGCCUAUCAGCUUGUUGGUGGGGUGAUGGCCUACCAAGGCGGCGACGGGUAGCCGGCCUGAGAGGGCGUCCGGCCACACUGGGACUGAGACACGGCCCAGACUCCUACGGGAGGCAGCAGUGGGGAAUAUUGCGCAAUGGACGGAAGUCUGACGCAGCGACGCCGCGUGGGGGAUGACGGCCUUCGGGUUGUAAACCUCUUUCGCCAUCGACGAAGCUUCUGGUUUUGGCUGGGGGUGACGGUAGGUGGAGAAGAAGCACCGGCCAACUACGUGCCAGCAGCCGCGGUAACACGUAGGGUGCGAGCGUUGUCCGGAAUUAUUGGGCGUAAAGAGCUCGUAGGCGGUGUGUCGCGUCGGCCGUGAAAACUUGCAGCUUAACUGUGGGCGUGCGGUCGAUACGGGCAUCACUGGAGUUCGGCAGGGGAGACUGGAAUUCCUGGUGUAGCGGUGAAAUGCGCAGAUAUCAGGAGGAACACCGGUGGCGAAGGCGGGUCUCUGGGCCGAUACUGACGCUGAGGAGCGAAAGCGUGGGGAGCGAACAGGAUUAGAUACCCCUGUAGUCC